rnacentral:misc_RNA from 1 species
GAUGAAGAACGCAGCGAAAUGCGAUAAGUAAUGCGAAUUGCAGAAUUUCCGUGAGUCAUCGAGUCUUUGAACGCACAUUGCGCCCCCUGGCAUUCCGGGGGGCAUGCCUGUCCGAGCGUCAUUGCUGCCCUUCAAGCCCGGCUUGUGUGUUGGGUCGUCGUCCCCCCCGGGGGACGGGCCCGAAAGGCAGCGGCGGCACCGCGUCCGGUCCUCGAGCGUAUGGGGCUUUGUCACCCGCUCGAUUAGGGCCGGCCGGGCGCCAGCCGGCGUCUCCAACCUUCUAUUUUACCAGGUUGACCUCGGAUCAGGUAGGGAUACCCGCUGAACUUAAGCAUAUCAAUAAGCGGAGGA